rnacentral:rRNA from 1 species
AGCGAACGCUGGCGGCAGGCUUAACACAUGCAAGUCGAACAGGCAUCUUCGGAUGUCAGUGGCAGACGGGUGAGUAACACGUGGGAACGUACCCUUCGGUUCGGAAUAACUCAGGGAAACUUGAGCUAAUACCGGAUACGCCCUUUUGGGGAAAGGUUUACUGCCGAAGGAUCGGCCCGCGUCUGAUUAGCUUGUUGGUGGGGUAACGGCCUACCAAGGCGACGAUCAGUAGCUGGUCUGAGAGGAUGAUCAGCCACACUGGGACUGAGACACGGCCCAGACUCCUACGGGAGGCAGCAGUGGGGAAUAUUGGACAAUGGGCGCAAGCCUGAUCCAGCCAUGCCGCGUGAGUGAUGAAGGCCUUAGGGUUGUAAAGCUCUUUUGUCCGGGACGAUAAUGACGGUACCGGAAGAAUAAGCCCCGGCUAACUUCGUG